rnacentral:lncRNA from 10 species
GAGGUUCCGGUUCUGUGGUGAUCUGGACUGUCCCGACUGGGUCCUGGCAGAAAUCAGCACGCUGGCCAAGAUGGUUGAGUGCACAGGGUCUAGUCUGGGUGGAGGAGGGGUGUUGGGGGUGGGGAUUGUGGGUGUAGAGGAUGGUGAGGUUUCUCUGGGGCUAGGGCCUCAGUGCUCUCAGCCUGUGCUACCAUGCUUUGUGACCUUGAUCAGUGGCUGGCCUGCUCUGAGCCAGUCCCCAGGAAGGAGGGGUGAGGUUUGCCAGCCUGGCUGAUGUAAGGACUUCCCUUCCAGUCCUCUGUGAAGUUGCGGCUGCUCUGCAGCCAGGUACUAAAGGAGCUGCUGGGACAGGGGAUUGAUGUGAGUACAAGAUCCAGCACCCCAUUGUCCCAUGACCUUAUGACCACCACUGCCCUGAAACUCUGCACUAGGCCCAGGGAGACGGGUGAGCCAGCCUCUCAACCUCUCUGGGCACCUCCCUUCCUUCUUUCCAGCCUGUCUGUUCCUUAUCGCAGGAUCCAGGCUGGGGGUGAGGGGCUGGUGAGCAGGGGCCUGGCACCCCCUGAAGGUCUCCUUUCCCCAUAGUAUGAGAAGAUCCUGAAGCUCACGGCUGACGCCAAGUUUGAGUCAGGCGAUGUGAAGGCCACAGUGGCAGUGCUGAGUUUCAUCCUCUCCAGUGCGGCCAAGCACAGUGUCGAUGGCGAAUCCUUGUCCAGUGAACUGCAGCAGCUGGGGCUGCCCAAAGGUACGGGUUGUGGGUGGGCAGCUGGGCAGCCUGUGGGCCAAGGGCUGCUAGAGAAGGGGACAGGCCCUGUGACCCUGAGGUGUACCUGCCCUGUCUGGGCCAGGAGCCCAAGCCAGGCCCCGACAUGCUACCUCCAGAGCUACUCCAUUCUACCCCCAGAGCACGCGGCCAGCCUGUGCCGCUGUUAUGAGGAGAAGCAAAGCCCCUUGCAGAAGCACUUGCGGGUCUGCAGCCUACGCAGUAAGUAUGAGGCCAGCCAGGGUCCGGGCUCAUUCUAGAAGGUGCACGCAGCACACAAAGUGCAUGGAGAGUCCAGGGAGACGACUUAACCACGGUCACAUGGUUACUAGCAGCCGUAGAGCUGGGACCUGGCCCUGGGUCUCCUGACUCCCCACAAGGUUUCUUGUCACUGAGGUCUGCUGUGGGUGAUCAGAACUGAUUAUCGGGCACCUGCCCUGUUCUGAGCCUGGGUCAGCAGGAUGGGAGCUUCUUAGAGGCCACAUAGCCUUGAAUGGUUGAGAGCUGAGCCAGGGUGUCGGCUGAGGUCUACUUGGCUUGCCUGCUUUGAUCCUGAGAGCCACCCACCCCAUCUCACAGUGAAUAGGUUGGCAGGUGUGGGCUGGCGGGUGGACUACACCCUGAGCUCCAGCCUGCUGCAAUCCGUGGAAGAGCCCAUGGUGCACCUGCGGCUGGAGGUGGCAGCUGCCCCAGGGACCCCAGCCCAGCCUGUUGCCAUGUCCCUCUCAGCAGACAAGUUCCAGGUCCUCCUGGCAGAACUGAAGCAGGCCCAGACCCUGAUGAGCUCCCUGGGCUGAGGAGAAGGGUGUUCCAGGCCUGUGUGGAGCCGCCCUGCCCGUAUGGAGUCACGCCCUCUGAACUGCUCUUCGGGAGGCAGCCCUGGUUCUAGGAUGCUGAGGCCCUGGCCC